GCCUGGGGAGGGCGCCUGCGCGUCGGGCAGCCCAGGCUCGGUAUUCUGUCGAAUGGAGGAACCUCACCUUGGAUGUCCCCAUGGAGCCUUGGAGGGAUGCAGAAGACAGGAUUGGCCAGCGACAGUCAAAGUGGCCGGCACCCCCCUCUACCAGCUCCCCAGUUCCUGGAGGCUGGGGGCCAAAAGAAAGACACAGGCUACUUUGACAACCUGAAAGCGAACUCCAGAAAUAUCACCAACAGCAUGACCUUUUUGACCAAAUCCAG
rnacentral:lncRNA from 1 species